rnacentral:rRNA from 1 species
AGCAGCCGCGAUAAUUCCAGCUCCAAUAGCGUAUAUUAAAGUUGUUGCAGUUAAAAAGCUCGUAGUUGAAUUUCGGGGUCAGUGGGUCGGUCGUGCCACUGGUAUGUACUGGCCCUACUGAUUCCUCCUUCUUGAAGAACUGUAAUGCCAUUAAUUUGGUGUUGCAGGGAAACAGGACUGUUACUUUGAAAAAAUUAGAGUGUUUAAAGCAGGCAAUCGCUUGAAUACAUUAGCAUGGAAUAAUGAAAUAGGACGCUCGAUCCUAUUUUGUUGGUUUCUAGGAUUGACGUAAUGAUUAAUAGGGAUAGUUGGGGGCAUUAGUAUUCAAUUGUCAGAGGUGAAAUUCUUGGAUUUAUUGAAGACUAACUACUGCGAAAGCAUUUGCCAAGGAUGUUUUCAUUAAUCAAGAACGAAAGUUAGGGGAUCGAAGACGAUCAGAUACCGUCGUAGUCUUAACCAUAAACUAUGCCGACUAGGGAUCGGAUGAUGUUAAUUUUUUAAUGACUCAUUCGGUGUCCUU